rnacentral:tRNA from 3 species
GGUGCAGAAGGGAAGUGGCCGAGCGGCACGUCUUUCAAGCGUGUAAUUAGCGGGUUCAAGUCCCGUCUGCACUACCA